rnacentral:rRNA from 1 species
AGAGUUUGAUCAUGGCUCAGAUUGAACGCUGGCGGCAGGCCUAACACAUGCAAGUCGAGCGGUAGCACAGAGAGCUUGCUCUCGGGUGACGAGCGGCGGACGGGUGAGUAAUGUCUGGGAAACUGCCUGAUGGAGGGGGAUAACUACUGGAAACGGUAGCUAAUACCGCAUAACGUCGCAAGACCAAAGUGGGGGACCUUCGGGCCUCAUGCCAUCAGAUGUGCCCAGAUGGGAUUAGCUAGUAGGUGAGGUAACGGCUCACCUAGGCGACGAUCCCUAGCUGGUCUGAGAGGAUGACCAGCCACACUGGAACUGAGACACGGUCCAGACUCCUACGGGAGGCAGCAGUGGGGAAUAUUGCACAAUGGGCGCAAGCCUGAUGCAGCCAUGCCGCGUGUGUGAAGAAGGCCUUCGGGUUGUAAAGCACUUUCAGCGGGGAGGAAGGCGUUAAGGUUAAUAACCUUGGCGAUUGACGUUACCCGCAGAAGAAGCACCGGCUAACUCCGUGCCAGCAGCCGCGGUAAUACGGAGGGUGCAAGCGUUAAUCGGAAUUACUGGGCGUAAAGCGCACGCAGGCGGUCUGUCAAGUCGGAUGUGAAAUCCCCGGGCUCAACCUGGGAACUGCAUUCGAAACUGGCAGGCUAGAGUCUUGUAGAGGGGGGUAGAAUUCCAGGUGUAGCGGUGAAAUGCGUAGAGAUCUGGAGGAAUACCGGUGGCGAAGGCGGCCCCCUGGACAAAGACUGACGCUCAGGUGCGAAAGCGUGGGGAGCAAACAGGAUUAGAUACCCUGGUAGUCCACGCCGUAAACGAUGUCGAUUUGGAGGUUGUGCCCUUGAGGCGUGGCUUCCGGAGCUAACGCGUUAAAUCGACCGCCUGGGGAGUACGGCCGCAAGGUUAAAACUCAAAUGAAUUGACGGGGGCCCGCACAAGCGGUGGAGCAUGUGGUUUAAUUCGAUGCAACGCGAAGAACCUUACCUGGUCUUGACAUCCACAGAACUUUCCAGAGAUGGAUUGGUGCCUUCGGGAACUGUGAGACAGGUGCUGCAUGGCUGUCGUCAGCUCGUGUUGUGAAAUGUUGGGUUAAGUCCCGCAACGAGCGCAACCCUUAUCCUUUGUUGCCAGCGGUCCGGCCGGGAACUCAAAGGAGACUGCCAGUGAUAAACUGGAGGAAGGUGGGGAUGACGUCAAGUCAUCAUGGCCCUUACGACCAGGGCUACACACGUGCUACAAUGGCAUAUACAAAGAGAAGCGACCUCGCGAGAGCAAGCGGACCUCAUAAAGUAUGUCGUAGUCCGGAUUGGAGUCUGCAACUCGACUCCAUGAAGUCGGAAUCGCUAGUAAUCGUAGAUCAGAAUGCUACGGUGAAUACGUUCCCGGGCCUUGUACACACCGCCCGUCACACCAUGGGAGUGGGUUGCAAAAGAAGUAGGUAGCUUAACCUUCGGGAGGGCGCUUACCACUUUGUGAUUCAUGACUGGGGUGAAGUCGUAACAAGGUAACCGUAGGGGAACCUGCGGUUG